ensembl:lncRNA
GGGGGGACAGAUGGGGGAGUUUGUGGGUGUUGAGCGGGGAUGUAGUUAAGGCGGUGGGAUGGGCAGAGUUAAGGGGAUGGAUUGGGGCAGUUGUGGGGAUGGGAUGGCAGAGUUAAGGGGAUGGGAUGGGAUAGAGUUAAAUGGAUGGAAUGGGGCAGAGUUAAGGGGAUGGGAUGGGGUAGAUUAAGGGGAUGGGAUGGGCAGAGUUAAGGGGAUGGAAUGGGGCAGAGUUAAGGGGAUGGGAUGGGGCAGAGUUAAGGGGAUGGGAUGGGGUAGAGUUAAAUGGAUGGAAUGGGGCAGAGUUAAGGGGAUGGGAUGGGGUAGAGUUAAAUGGAUGGAAUGGGGCAGAGUUAAGGGGAUGGGAUGGGGUAGAUUAAGGGGAUGGGAUGGGCAGAGUUAAGGGGAUGGGAUGGGCAGUUAAGCAGACUUGGCAGUGUCCAUUCGGGGAAGCUGUGGCCGUUUGCAGGGCACCCCACACGACUCCCCCAUGUCUCUGGGCAGGUGUCGGCCCGCAGCCCGCCGUGCCCCAGCGGUGCCUACACUCAGUCCGGCGAGUGCUGCUCCUCCUGCCCUCCAGGCUCCGGGACGGCCGUUCCCCACGGCCUCACCAGCACCCAGUGUGAGCCCUGCGCCCAGA